UUGGUGGGCGGGCGUAUGGCGGUCAGGCCUGGGCCGCCACGAGGCCGGCUGGCACUGUGGGGUCACUUUCUGACGCCCCAGGUCACCGAGGCUGAAAGGGGAGGUGGGGACUCUCAGGGAGCAGCUCUCGUUCUCGCCGAUGGCGGUGGGUAAACCCCUAAGAGGGAUCCGCUGCCAGGGCGAGGCGAGGAGGAGGCGAAAGGGCCUGAAGGUAGAGGGCCAAGACCCUGAGGAGAGAGGGGGCUCACUGCCCCGAUGCAGAGGAUCAGCCCCAGAUGGAUAAGGAGUUGAGGUCGCGGGGAUGCUGAGCCCUGCCAAAGUGGAAGUGACUGGCUACCAGGAUCUGAAAACCCCAAAUCUCUUGGAUGAGUGGGGAUCAGAGCUGAAGCUUCACCACAAAUCAGAAGUGGGACUUGAGAGACUGGCAGAAGGGUAGCCAGAUGUUGGAAGAGGUGGCUAACCUGAAAGGCAGCUGGGGAGCCUUGCCGCAGGGGCCCAAGAAACCAGUAUGGAUUGGCGAGAAAGGCACACUUUACGCACCGAAGAUGCGUUACCGGAUUGCGGCUGUUUCUGUGCUCCAGCUUUACCUUCAGGUUACAGAUUCCAAACUUAGCCCCACCCGAGCCAAAAAUGGCCGGUGCCCGCCGCCUGCCCUCCCCUCCCCGAGGCUGCCGGAGCCUCAGGCCCCUUCCUUCUCUCAACUAAUCGCCCAGGGACUUGCGGCGGCUCCUACACCUUUCCCCAGCUCGGCGGGUGCUGCGCUCUUUCGGAAUGCGCUCUUUGGCUAUGCGCUCUUUGGCUAUGCGCUCUUUGGGGGUGCGUUGUGGGGUUCCCUGAUGAUAGGCGCGACUCCGUCUCCAGCCUGUUUCUUGUUCCGCUUUACCUUUCCGCUCGCGACCACCUCGCUGACCUUUUAGCUACUAUCUAACAUCCCCAGGCAGCUGCGCAAAAAGCCCGGGACCUCUCCAGCCAAGAUGUACCCAGUCUCACCACAGACCAGCUGCGCCAGAAGGUUGGCGAUGCCGCGACACGACCAUGUCUGCGCCCCCAACCCUGGUAGUCCGUCGGGCACCUCCCGAAACUCCCGUACCUCCUCUGCCUGCCCUCCAAGCACAGGAGACUCUCCACGGUAGGUUCCUGUGCCUGCCCGCCCCUCCACCCUGGACACUUCUUGGACCUGUGGCCCUGUGGUCUCAGGUAGGUGGUGUGACCCAUGUGGGUUUCCUUGUCUGUAUGAUGGUUGGGUUCCACCAGCUUUUUUCCUCCCAACGUGAAGGAGGCCAUGCCAUACAGCUCCCCACCCCACCCCUGCUCUCCAGCACCAGCAGGGCCUCGCGACUCUGACUCCUUCCUCUGGCCAAGUAGAAGGGCUAAGGCUCGCAGGAGCUAACUUCACACAGGUGAUCUGUCUGAGAUCAUGUUGGAGGCCUGGGAGAGCUCCACUCAGCCCAUUUCAUUACAGCCUGCUCGCGUUCACCUGAGAAGGGGCUUGUUCUCAAAAUCAUGGCUACUUCUCUGAGUCAGCAGACAACAGCCUGAAGAUCACCCGUAGAUGUCCCCUGCACUGAGGGCUGUUUUGGCUAACGGAAGAAGGACACCAAGUUGAAGACCCAUCCGGGUGUGACCUUGGGGGUUGUGGGCGUGUUGUGGCGUGUGAAGGAGGUUUGUCCUGUUAACCCUUUGCCCCCUUUUCUCUCUCUCCCCCGAGCCUUUCUCCUUUCAGUGUCCUUGGAGCCAUCAGCAGUUGUGUCCCCCCAGACCCCUGACACUGCUCUGUGUGGUACCACUGAGCCUCCUUAAUGUCCCUCCUUGCUGCGAAAUCUUAGUGCUUCAGCCUCUUCUUGGUGGGCAUCUCACCUUGCCCUUGAGGGAGAGCUUUGCUGGGAGGUAAGGCGUGGUCUUCACCUUCCAAUAGAACCCACCUACCCUUAAGGGUCUCCGUGUUGCAGGGUCUGCAGAUGGCAGUUAGACUGGGGUCCUAUCUGGCCCAGCGAUGGGCCUUUUAGAAAUACCUCAUCACAGCUGACCUUAGGUUCACGACUGGGCUUCUCAAAGAGGCCUGAUUAAUUCAUGGUGCCCCCCUCCCCCUACCCAUAGCCACCCGAGACAAGAGGAUUUACUGUACCAGUUUAUUGCCAAGCUGUAUCGGUUGAUAAGCAGGAAACUUCAGACCAUCUGUUUAAAAAUAAAAAAUGAACAGCGGCACAGCCCUAGAGCUAACACUUUGUACUGCUGCAUAGUAAACGAGCCCACUGGAUGCAGUGACCUCGGCUGAGGUGGCCACGGGCUUGUCCUCCAUCCCUCUCAUCCGGGGCGCCAGAUUUGUGGAAGGCAGAGCACACCACCCCCCCAACCCCAACAGCCAGCAUCACUCUCCUUCUAGCUGCUCCCAGGCCCCUCGUUCAGGUCUGGCUGCACUCGAGGGUUUCUAACUCUUCUUUAGACCUCAGAGACUGUUCCCAGCAGGAUGCUCAUCCCAUCAGCUGAGAGUCCUCGUGGUCAGCCUCAUGGACCUGUCGUGGAGGCCAGCCUGCGGGACAGGACACGGGAGCACGGUCUGAAGAGGCCUUCCUGUGGCCGCUAAGGACAAGCCUUUUGCUUGGCGCCUGGGACGACAUUGUCAGCACCACCGUCUUUGAGAUCAAAGCAGUGACAGAACCUUCCCAGAGAAGCCUUUAGAAGUGAAAUGUUGAGGCCACGGCAGAGCAACGGUCAAGUUCUUCUGCUUCCCAUGGUGCCCUGAGCCUGCUGCCAAGCCCACGUUCAAAGGCUGUUUCUUCAAAGUUAAUGGUGCCGCCUUUGAGCUGGGAGGGGAAGCGGGCAGUUGGGAGGCCCGUUUCAAUGUGCAUGUUUGAAGGGGAGGCAGGGGUUCUUUGGUUUAUGAUCGUGUGAGAACUUGGGGUGGGGAGAGGGGUCCAUGUCCACCUGGGUGUUCCCUGGGCCCCAGGCGGGCAGGGCUGGGAGGGGGCGUCAGGCACCGCCUUGUGGAAAGUGACCGUGAAGGACCCUUCCGGAGGGCCCCCCCCAAUCCUGUUGUGUUUGGUUCAGAGGGUUGGGCGGAGGCUUUCCUGAAGGGUCUGAGAGAGCAGCACCCACAGGCUGUGUACUCAGGAGCUAGGACGUGGGGGUUGGAUGAGGGGAAGGCCAGCCUGGACUCCUCCCUGAUGGAUUCCUGACCCGGUCAGCUGCCCUGUGGCGGCCAGUGAGCAUCGAGAUGAAAACCCAGGAGCACAGGCCCCCGACCCCAGCCUCGGCCUUGAGCACCUGGGGCUCCCCAUCAGCCCUCGCACUCUUUAGCCCACAGCUGUCAGCCAACCUGCACCUGCCUGUGCGCCCCCUUUUGGGGUCUUUCUCCCUCACCCCAGCUGCACACCUGGCCUGGCCAGCCCUCCCCACCCUUGGGAAGCCUCUCUGACCAUCCAGCCCUCCUUGGACAUCACAGCCCUUUCGUCUGGUCUCUCUGCCGAAGCCUGUUUGCUGCCCAUGGCUUCUAGCUCUCCUGGAUGAGCACCCAGGGGAUGACCAGAGCUGCUGUGCCGACUGCAUGGUCCUCUAGCUUCUUUCUCCACACGUGGCACUCAGUAGGUGCCUAAUAAACCUGUUUAGAACGAGUA